rfam:Ricinus communis cultivar Hale ctg_1100012350358, whole genome shotgun sequence.
AUGCCGAUGAUGAGAUCAAUCACUUAAAAUAACCAUCUUUCGGGACUGAGCGACUCAUUUGAGUCCUGCUGACAUGUGUUUUGCUCUUCUGAGGCAU